rnacentral:rRNA from 1 species
UGGUAGCAAUACUGAGCGAAGCUAGUGGCGAACGGGUGCGUAACACAUGAGUCAUCCGCCCAGAAGUGGGGAAUAGCUCGGCGAAAGCCGGAUUAAUACCGCAUGUGGUCGUAAGACCAAAGCCGGGGCAACCUGGCGCUUUUGGAGGAGCUCGUGGCCUAUCAGCUAGUUGGUGAGGUAACGGCUUACCAAGGCAACGACGGGUAGCUGGUCUGAGAGGACGACCAGCCACACUGGUACUGAGAUACGGUCCAGACACCUACGGGUGGCAGCAGUCGAGAAUUUUUCUCAAUGGGGGAAACCCUGAAGGAGCGACGCCGCGUGGAGGAUGAAUGCUUUCGGGUUGUAAACUCCUGUCAUUUGGGAACAAGGCUUUACGUUAACUGCGUGGAGGAUUGAUAGUACCAGAAGAGGAAGAGACGGCUAACUCUGUGCCAGCAGCCGCGGUAAUACAGAGGUCUCGAGCGUUGUUCGGAUUCAUUGGGCGUAAAGGGCGCGUAGGCGGCGGGGUAAGUCUGGUGUGAAAUCUAGGAGCUCAACUCCUAAACUGCACUGGAUACUGCUUUGCUAGAGGACUGGAGAGGAGAUUGGAAUUCACGGUGUAGCA